AGCACCUGAGUUUAAUUUCUGUACAAAGAUUUACAGACAGGUGCAAAAAUAAAUCCUUUUUUGCAACCCAGAACUCACUGUUCAGUCUGAGUUUUGAUACAGAUGAGAAGGAACAUG
rnacentral:snoRNA from 1 species